rnacentral:rRNA from 1 species
UUUAAGCUUCCUACGGGAGGCUGCAGUGGGGAAUCUUGCGCAUUGGGCGAAAGCCUGACGCAGCCAUGCCGCGUGAAUGAUGAAGGUCUUAGGAUUGUAAAAUUCUUUCACCGGGGACGAUAAUGACGGUACCCGGAGAAGAAGCCCCGGCUAACUUCGUGCCAGCAGCCGCGGUAAUACGAAGGGGGCUAGCGUUGCUCGGAAUUACUGGGCGUAAAGGGAGCGUAGGCGGACAUUUAAGUCAGGGGUGAAAUCCCGGGGCUCAACCUCGGAAUUGCCUUUGAUACUGGGUGUCUUGAGUAUGAGAGAGGUGUGUGGAACUCCGAGUGUAGAGGUGAAAUUCGUAGAUAUUCGGAAGAACACCAGUGGCGAAGGCGACACACUGGCUCAUUACUGACGCUGAGGCUCGAAAGCGUGGGGAGCAAACAGGAUUAGAUACCCUUGUAGUCGAAUUCUU